UCUCAACUGAAAGAAACUUGAUUGGAAUAAUUACUUCUUUGUCCCGGUCGGCACCAACAAGAUUACCUGGCAGAGAAAGGUUAAGCACUUACAGAAAAUGUCUUGAAUGUUGAGAUCCAGGGUCACAAGUGGGAAAUGGCUGCAGAAAACCUGAAUGGAUCUUCACUGAAUAACCAUGGAAACCAGAGAGCAGCUGUAUGAAAAUUCAGGCCACCAAAGCAAAAUGGUUGAAGGAAGGUUUUGAAGAAGCCUCUCUUUCUCACUGGCUGGAGAGGCAAACC